AUACUUACCUGGCACAAGAGUUUGCUAUGAUCAUGAAGGUAGCUCUCUCGGGAUGAGGCUUUUCCAUUGCACUUCGGAUUAGCUGACUCUCGCCAUUAUCCCUAAUGUGGAUAACUGGUGUGCGUAAUUUUUGGUAGCCGGGAUUUGCGUUCGCGCUUAUCCCGA